rnacentral:rRNA from 1 species
GAUGAACGCUGGCGGCGUGCCUAAUACAUGCAAGUCGAGCGAAUGGAUUAAGGGCUUGCUCUUAUGAAGUUAGCGGCGGACGGGUGAGUAACACGUGGGUAACCUGCCCAUAAGACUGGGAUAACUCCGGGAAACCGGGGCUAAUACCGGAUAACAUUUUGAACCGCAUGGUUCGAAAUUGAAAGGCGGCUUCGGCUGUCACUUAUGGAUGGACCCCCGUCGCAUUAGCUAGUUGGUGAGGUAACGGCUCACCAAGGCAACGAUGCGUUAGCCGACCUGAGAGGGUGAUCGGCCACACUGGGACUGAGACACGGCCCAGACUCCUGCGGGAGGCAGCAGUAGGGAAUCUUCCGCAAUGGACGAAAGUCUGACGGAGCAACGCCGCGUGAGUGAUGAAGGCUUUCGGGUCGUAAAACUCUGUUGUUAGGGAAGAACAAGUGCUAGUUGAAUAAGCUGGCACCUUGACGGUACCUAACCAGAAAGCCACGGCUAACUACGUGCCAGCCGCCGCAGUAA